rnacentral:misc_RNA from 1 species
GAAUGAAGAACGCAGCGAAAUGCGAUAAGUAAUGUGAAUUGCAGAUUUCAGUGAAUCAUCGAAUCUUUGAACGCACCUUGCGCCUUGUGGUAUUCCACAAGGCAUGCCCGUUUGAGUAUCAUUAAAUCAUCAACUCUAAAACCUUUGUGGUUUUUUUAGAGCUUGGUCUUGAGGGUUUUGCAGGCUUUUUUUUUUUCGAGUCUGCUCCCUUUAAAUGCGUUAGCGAGACUUCCCUAUGCUGAACCGUCUCUUUGACGUGAUAAUUAUCUGCGUCGAAUUUUGGUUCUCGUUGGGCUUGCUUCUAAUCGUCUGUUAAAGACAAAACGGAUUUGGGUGCAUAUAUGCGCCUUUUUCCAAAACCUUUUUUGAUCUCAAAUCGGGUAGGACUACCCGCUGAACUUAAGCAUAUCAAUAAGCGGAGGA